rnacentral:rRNA from 1 species
UGCCUCAGACAUGCAAGUCGAGCGCGAAAGUUCCUUUCGGGGAGCGAGUAGAGUGGCGCACGGGUGAGUAACACGUAGGUAAUCUACCUUUGGAUGGGGAAUAACAACCGGAAACGGUUGCUAAUACCGCAUAAUGCAGCGGCACCUAAUGGUGACAGUUGUUAAAGCGGGGGAUCGUAAGACCUCGCGUCUGAAGAGGAGCCUGCGGCGGAUUAGCUAGUUGGUAAGGUAACGGNUUACCAAGGCGAUGAUCCGUAGCCGGCCUGAGAGGGCGGUCGGCCACACUGACACUGACAUACGGGUCAGACUCCUACGGGAGGCAGCAGUCGGGAAUUUUGGGCAAUGGGCGAAAGCCUGACCCAGCAACGCCGCGUGAAGGAUGAAAUCCUUCGGGAUGUAAACUUCGCAAGAACGGGAAGAAUAAACCGGUGUUAACACCACCGGCGAUGACGGUACUGUUUGUAAGCUCCGGCUAACUCCGUGCCAGCAGCCGCGGUAAUACGGGGGGAGCAAGCGUUGUUCGGAUUUACUGGGCGUAAAGGGCGCGUAGGCGGCCACUGCA